GCCUGGGUGGCUCAGUUGGUUCAGCGUCUGACUUUGGCUCAGGUCAUGAUCUCAUGGUUCAUGGGUUCGAGUCCCACAUCAGGCU
rnacentral:tRNA from 1 species